rnacentral:rRNA from 1 species
AUUGAACGCUGGCGGCAGGCCUAACACAUGCAAGUCGAGCGGAUGAAGGGAGCUUGCUCCUGGAUUCAGCGGCGGACGGGUGAGUAAUGCCUAGGAAUCUGCCUGGUAGUGGGGGAUAACGUCCGGAAACGGGCGCUAAUACCGCAUACGUCCUGCGGGAGAAAGUGGGGGAUCUUCGGACCUCACGCUAUCAGAUGAGCCUAGGUCGGAUUAGCUAGUUGGUGGGGUAAAGGCCUACCAAGGCGACGAUCCGUAACUGGACUGAGAGGAUGAUCAGUCACACUGGAACUGAGACACGGUCCAGACUCCUACGGGAGGCAGCAGUGGGGAAUAUUGGGCAAUGGGCGGAAGCCUGAUCCAGCCAUGCCACGUGUGUGAAGAAGGUCUUCGGAUUGUAAAGCACGUUAAGUUGGGAGGAAGGGCAGUAAGUUAAUACCUUGCUGUUUUGACGUUACCAGCUGAAUAAGCACCGGCUAACUUCGUG